UGUAUUAUAUUCCAUGUUUUGCUUUCCAGAAAGUUUGACAGCUGCUCACGGGUUCAAAAUGGCCGCGUGGGUGAAAAUGAACACGUGGUUUAAAACCGGUACUGGGUUGAAUUCUACAAUAUUAUUGGUUUUAUUAUUUCUACCAGCUCUAGCACUGGGACAGCAGGAAUAUUGUUCAAUCACUCCUCAGCACACACUCUGCAAUCUACCGGAGACUGGUCCCGGCUGUGAUGGAACUAUAGAGACAAAAGGAAUUGAUGAGGAAGAUAUUACGAUCAUUGUUGAUACGCAUAACAAGAUCCGCGCUAAAGUAGCAAAUGGUGAGGAAGGUAAUCAACCCCCAGCUAGUAAUAUGAAACGAAUGGAGUGGGACGAGGAAUUAGCAAAAGUUGCGCAGAGGUGGGCAAAUCAGUGUUCCCUGAAUUCUGGCCAACCUCACGACUGUAAUCAAUGCAGAGCUGUGUCAAGAUUCCCAGUUGGGCAGAAUGCUUUGUAUUCAGCUGCCUCGGUGGCUCAAAAGUUUGAUUUUGCUCAGGAAAUCAGAGGAUUCAGGGAAUGGCGACUGAUGAGAUUCCUUUGGUAACCCCAAGCCAGUUGGAACAAUUUUAUAGCAAUGCAGCUGGACACUACACUCAGAUAGUCUGGGCUGAUACAUGCAAGGUAGGAUGUGGGCUAACUGCAGUUAAG
rnacentral:misc_RNA from 1 species